rnacentral:rRNA from 1 species
CGCGUAGGCGGCUGGAUAAGUCAGAUGUGAAAUCCCACGGCUCAACUGUGGAAGUGCAUUUGAAACUGUCCGGCUUGAGUAUCGGAGGGGAGUGUGGAGUUCCCGGUGUAGAGGUGAAAUUCGUAGAGAUCGGGAGGAACACCGGUGGCGAAGGCGACACUCUGGACGCAUACUGACGCUGAGGCGCGAAAGCGUGAGGAGCAAACA